rnacentral:misc_RNA from 1 species
GCUGAAAAUUAGUGAAUUGUCAAGUUCUACAACGUUGUGACAAGUCAAAAUGGGAUCUCACGUUCGAAGAAGUUGAGUUUCAUGGAAACUUUAAGAAUACCAAAUCAAAUGUAACGGAAUAUUUUGUUCUUUCAAGCCAAAAUGGAGAAUCAGCUUAUAAGUACAGUAAAUGGCAACUUGUAUCCUUCCAGCAACUCCUUUAAUUGCACCGAGAUAUUUGAGAUGCUAAUACUCGCCAUCCCUUGUAUAGAGCACAAGAGGCCGAGAUUCCGAUUCAGGUGGCCCCUUUCUGAGACAGCUCUUUCAUGUAUAUAGGUAGAUCACCUUGGCCGUCAGAUAUGGCAUUGUACUUGAAAUUGGAACUGAAGUAGCAAAAUUUAAUACAAUUCAGUAGUCAUCUAAGCACCAGUGCAAGGCAUAAAGCUGAAGUCAAAAAUCAGGGGACCAUCAUCUAUGUGAUCUUUGCCUCCGAUCUUCUUCAUCCCGUCCAUCACGGUGGAGGCGAGAUCGUUUCUCCAUUUCCCUGCUUUCUCUUUUUUCUGUAUGAUAAGAUUCAGAUUCAUAUCUUUUUUGUCUUCUUUCGUCUUUCCUAUCAUCGUAUUCCUUUGAGAUCACAUCAUCAUGCCUCCUAGAUUUUCUCCCAAUAGCUUCCCCCGAGUCUUGUACAUCAUCAUACCGCCU